rnacentral:rRNA from 1 species
CAAGUCGAGCGGAGAUGAGGUGCUUGCACCUUAUCUUAGCGGCGGACGGGUGAGUAAUGCUUAGGAAUCUGCCUAUUAGUGGGGGACAACAUUCCGAAAGGAAUGCUAAUACCGCAUACGUCCUACGGGAGAAAGCAGGGGAUCUUCGGACCUUGCGCUAAUAGAUGAGCCUAAGUCGGAUUAGCUAGUUGGAGGGGUAAAGGCCUACCAAGGCGACGAUCUGUAGCGGGUCUGAGAGGAUGAUCCGCCACACUGGGACUGAGACACGGCCCAGACUCCUACGGGAGGCAGCAGUGGGGAAUAUUGGACAAUGGGGGGAACCCUGAUCCAGCCAUGCCGCGUGUGUGAAGAAGGCCUUAUGGUUGUAAAGCACUUUAAGCGAGGAGGAGGCUACUGAGACUAAUACUUUUGGAUAGUGGACGUUACUCGCAGAAUAAGCACCGGCUAACUCUGUGCCAGCAGCCGCGGUAAUACAGAGGGUGCGAGCGUUAAUCGGAUUUACUGGGCGUAAAGCGUGCGUAGGCGGCUUUUUAAGUCGGAUGUGAAAUCCCCGAGCUUAACUUGGGAAUUGCAUUCGAUACUGGGAAGCUAGAGUAUGGGAGAGGAUGGUAGAAUUCCAGGUGUAGCGGUGAAAUG